AACAGGGAGUGCUUGCACUCCGCUGACGACCGGCGAACGGGUGAGUAAUGCAUAAGAAACCUGCCCAUGAGACGGGGAUAGCCAUUCCAACGGAUGAUUAAUACCCGAUAGUGAUAUUACAACGCAUGUUGUUUUAUCUAAAUGUUUUAUCGCUCAUGGAUGGUCUUAUGUGACAUCAGCUAGUUGGUGAGGUAAUGGCUCACCAAGGCAAUGACGUCUAGCCGACCUGAGAGGGUGAUCGGCCACAUCGGGACUGAGAUACGGCCCGGACUCCUACGGGAGGCAGCAGUAGGGAAUUUUGCGCAAUGGAGGAAACUCUGACGCAGCGAUACCGUGUGUAGGAAGACGCCCUGCGGGGUGUAAACUACUGUCACUAGGGAAGAAUACAAUGACGGUACCUAGAGAGGAAGCACCGGCUAACUCCGUGCCAGCAGCCGCGGUAAUACGGAGGGUGCAAGCGUUGCGCGGAAUUACUGGGCGUUAAGGGUCCGUAGGCUGUUUGUUAAGUCAGUUUUUUAAGACCGCAGCUCAACUGCGGAAAAGGAAUUGAUACUGGCAGACUAGAGCGUGAGAGGGGAAAGUGGAAUUCCAGGAGUAGCGGUGAAAUGUGUAGAUACCUAGAGGAACGCCAAAGGUGAAGACAACUUUCUGGCUCAUAGCUGACGCUGAGGGACGAAAGCGUGGGGAGCAAAUAGGAUUAGAUACCCUAGUAGUCCACGCCGUAAACGAUGAAUGCUAGACAUUGGGAUUGUAAUAUUUUUCAGUGUCGCAGCUUACGCAUUAAGCAUUCCGCCUGGGGAG
rnacentral:rRNA from 1 species